UACGUAGGUGGCAAGCGUUGUCCGGAUUUACUGGGCGUAAAGAGCGCGCAGGCGGUCGUCCAAGUCGCGUGUGAAAGCCCCCGGCUCAACUGGGGAGGGUCACGCGAUACUGGUCGACUCGAAGGCAGGAGAGGGUAGUGGAAUUCCCGGUGUAGUGGUGAAAUGCGUAGAUAUCGGGAGGAACACCAGUGGCGAAGGCGGCUUUCUGGCCUGUUCUUGACGCUGAGGCGCGAAAGCUAGGGGAGCAAACGGG
rnacentral:rRNA from 1 species